UACGUAGGGUGCGAGCGUUAAUCGGAAUUACUGGGCGUAAAGCGUGCGUAGGCGGUUCGUUAAGUUCGUUGUGAAAGCCCCGGGCUCAACCUGGGAACUGCAAUGGAAACUGGCGGGCUUGAGUGUGGCAGAGGGGGGUGGAAUUCCGCGUGUAGCAGUGAAAUGCGUAGAGAUGCGGAGGAACACCGAUGGCGAAGGCAGCCCCCUGGGCCAACACUGACGCUCAUGCACGAAAGCGUGGGGAGCAAACAGG
rnacentral:rRNA from 1 species